rnacentral:tRNA from 1 species
UAGCUCACGUGGUAGAGCGCAUGCUCGGCAUGCAUGAGGUCCUGGGUUCAAUCCCCAG